UACGUAGGGGGGCAAGCGUUGUCCGGAAUUAUUGGGCGUAAAGAGCGUGUAGGCGGUCCGGUAAGUCGGCUGUGAAAGUCCAGGGCUCAACCCUGGGAUGCCGGUCGAUACUGCCGGACUAGAGUUCGGAAGAGGCGAGUGGAAUUCCCGGUGUGAGCGGUGAAAUGCGCAGAUAUCGGGAGGAACACCUAUGGCGAAGGCAGCUCGCUGGGACGUUACUGACGCUGAGACGCGAAAGCGUGGGGGAGCAAACAGG
rnacentral:rRNA from 1 species